AGUGAACGCUGGCGGUAGGCCUAACACAUGCGAGUCGAACGGCAGCACAGUAAGAGCUUGCUCUUACGGGUGGCGAGUGGCGGACGGGUGAGGAAUACAUCGGAAUCUACUUUUUCGUGGGGGAUAACGUAGGGAAACUUACGCUAAUACCGCAUACGACCUACGGGUGAAAGCAGGGGAUCUUCGGACCUUGCGCGAUUGAAUGAGCCGAUGUCGGAUUAGCUAGUUUGCGGGGUAAAGGCCCACCAAGGCGACGAUCCGUAGCUGGUCUGAGAGGAUGAUCAGCCACACUGGAACUGAGACACGGUCCAGACUCCUACGGGAGGCAGCAGUGGGGAAUAUUGGACAAUGGGCGCAAGCCUGAUCCAGCCAUACCGCGUGGGUGAAGAAGGCCUUCGGGUUGUAAAGCCCUUUUGUUGGGAAAGAAAAGCAGCAGGUUAAUACCCCGCUGUUCUGACGGUACCCAAAGAAUAAGCACCGGCUAACUUCGUG
rnacentral:rRNA from 1 species